rnacentral:rRNA from 1 species
GACGAACGCUGGCGGCGCACAUAAGACAUGCAAGUCGAACGGACUUAACUCAUUCUUUUAGAUUGAGAGCGGUUAGUGGCGGACUGGUGAGUAACACGUAAGCAACCUGCCUAUUAGAGGGGAAUAACAGUGAGAAAUCAUUGCUAAUACCGCAUAUGCUAACAGUAUCGCAUGGUUUUGUGUGAAAAACUCCGGUGGUGUGAGAUGGACCCGCGUUGGAUUAGCCAGUUGGCAGGGUAACGGCCUACCAAAGCGACGAUCCAUAGCCGGCCUGAGAGGGUGAACGGCCACAUUGGGACUGAGACACGGCCCAG